UUAUGACCUUAAAAUAGGUCGAAAGCUUGUCAAUUGCAAUUUGUUUUUUCAGCCAGACCAAACUGGCUGAACCAGGAAAAUUAAUAGUAAUUUUAUCUUCUUAAACGUUGUGAAUUUUUCGGAGAUCCAUUUGAAACAGCGUUUGAAACAGCCGAGGGUAGACUUUUCUCAGCCGACUUUUCGAGUUCAUCGCAAUUAGAAUUAUGACGGUAAACAAACUAAUCUAACCGUUUGGACCGGAUUACAGUAAGCCGUUGUGUGUUAUUUAAAGUUCAGGUCGAGUUUUUAUCCAGUGAAAUAUAAACGGGUUCCGUGAAGAGGGUUAACCACGAAAUUCCGUGAUCAUGAACAUGUAAGGGCGUUGUUUAGCUCAAUAAAGGGAUGUGAACGCCGACUAAAGCCGAGAAAAUUUUCCCAUUUUAAUUAUUUCUAACUUUCUUCCGCCUUCUCGGCCGUCACUUAUAAUGAAUAUUUGAUUUCAAAUAGCUGUUUCGUCUAUAUCUAUUAUUGCAUAAUCGAACUGGGCUGUCCGAGAUCGUCGCGAUAACCUCUGUUAACGCUUUUUUACUUCUGCUGGCUUACCUAAGCAACAGAAAAAAUAUGGCUUUGACCAGUGCCAAUUCACGUUCAAUAUAUGAACGGUUAGAUCACUCUAGCUUUAAAUACGUUAAUGUAAUUUUUUUAUUUUUUUAUUAGAGAGACAGAAGCUAUCAGCUCUUCUGGCAUUGCCUUAUGAAUACUUGUGUUGAAAUUACAUUUACUCCAACGUUGAACUGAAGAAUUGAAUUGGAUUCUGAAAAUUAUGAAUAGAAGACGAUGUUAGCUACAUCAUUUUCUUUUUUAAAUGUUUAGCUCAAUAUUUUUGUUUUUGAUAAACAAAGAAAAACAAUUAAUUUUUUUAAAAGUAAAGUUACUUAUUUAACCAAUUAUUUUGACUUUUCGGGAAUUUACAACCAUCAUAGGCAUCUACAUUUUUAAACGACACCUGGAUCAAUCAAUAAGGAUACGAAACCAUCCAGGCUUUGAACCAGUUUUUACCAACGCAAUACACGAAAUGUGAUAUUCAACCAGGACAUCCAAUUAUUCCAGGAAUGGCAGACGCUUUACUAUCUAUACAUUUUUCAAUCAACACAUUACAAAUGGGCUGAGGCCCGCCGUCUGCCCCGCAUAUCACCUAUGAGAUAAUUAUUGGGACAAUCAUGACCCGUGGCAGUUGCCCUCCCAAAUAUAGAUUUUUUUAAUUAAAAAAAAGCAUUCCAAAACAAUAGUGGUUAAUCAAUAUUUUUGAGAACGGAGCAUCAAAUCUGUUAAGGACGAGGCAGAAAAUACAAACAAUAAUGUAAUGACAACAAUAAAAUUAAAGGAAAUUCUUGAAAGCUAAGAACAAUUUACUCUGGUAGAGAAAUGAUUGGUACUAAUAAUUUCUGUGUUCAAGUUUUUUUAAGCCCAUUUCAGGGGCAGCUGGUUUACAACCCGGGACUUCCGCCUUACAGUGAUGUGCAGCUCAACGCCUAACCGUUGCGGCCACCAACGCCCCAGAUGUUUUUUUAAAAUAA
rnacentral:lncRNA from 1 species